GGCCUCCCUCUGCAGGGUGAUCGAUCGUGGAGCCUCUGCCCCCCCAUUGAUUGCCCUGCAGAGGGUGGCC
rnacentral:pre_miRNA from 1 species